rnacentral:tRNA from 1 species
GCCGGGAUGGCGGAAUUGGCAGACGCGCUAGAUUCAGGUUCUAGUGGGAGCUUUUUCCUGUGUGGGUUCGAGUCCCGCUCCCGGCA